AGCAGCUUGUGAGCUCCAGGCACCCGUUGGAGUGACGCUGCGGGAGGGUGUGAGUGGGCACGCCCGGCUGUGACAUGUGCGUGGCAAAUGAGGACUUGGGGCAGUGCAGGUGGACACCGGGGUGGCAGGGGUGUGCAUUUCCACGUGUGUACGUGCAUGUGCAAGUAUGUGUAUGUGCAUGUGUGCAUGUGCGUGUAAACGGAGGGAGCUGCGUCCAUGUGUGUGAGCUGGGUGUGUGCAGAGGAGGGAAUGUGUGAGUGAUGCUGUCCAAGGGUGGCACAGCCAUCAAGGCUGGGCACUCACUGUGGUCUUGGACAUCCCACUGGGUGCUGAUGAGAAGGGACUGAGGUGGCCACUGUCCAGCCCCCCACCACAUGCAGCCACUGACCAGGCACUUUUCUAGGUCCCGCCUCGUCCCUGCCCCUCCGGCUGACGUCACCCGGGACCUCUCAGGUCUUCCCAGUCCAGCGCUGCCCUCCGGUGGCCUUGGAGAGUGCGGGAUGCGAGGUAGGGGCGUGUGGGAACAGAGGGGGCCUGUGAAGGGGUGGGGACUGACACGGAGGGCACGCUGCAGCUGGCUGGGCAUGGGGGAGCUGGGAUCCCAAAGGGAGGGUGCAGCAGGACCCUCGAGGGAGUACGGGGAUCUCCAAGAGGCCGGUGCAGAGGGAUCCUCUGCAGCCUGUGUUUGGGGAGGGAGCUUCCCCGAGCCCCACCUAGGGAAGCUAGGACAGCAUGUCCAUCAGCGGAGCAGUGGAGAGGCUGAGCCAAACUUCAGCAUCAUCCUGGGUCUGAACCAGACAUGUGCACCCUUCCCUGCCCAGGAAGGAAACUGGGAUGGAUUCAGGAUUCUCUGGUGAGGGAGCAAAAGGAAAACUGGGGUCUGAUGGGGGGCUUUGCUGGAGUGGUCUGAGUCAUUGGGGGUCUGCUCCUGGCCAGCAGAAACCUGCUGACCAGUGGGAAGCCAGGCCAGGCCAUGAGUGCAUCUGCAAAUAUUGCAAACCCAGAGCUAGGAAUGAAUAGCUGAAUAGCGUGUGGC
rnacentral:lncRNA from 1 species